CGAAGUACAUGUUUCGGAAAGUCUUUUCCUCCUUUGAGCUCUUUCUCUUUGUAAAUCAGUAGUGCUAAGAGUUCGCGACAUAGAAACUGUAACAGAAUACAUUUGCUGAACCGUGUCUAGUAAAACAACUUAACUACGUCAAUCGAUAGAAAAGUUAAUGUUGUUUCAUUUUAUUUUUCAGGGUUCACUGGGAGCUCAUAUUCUCAAAUGAAAUGCUUUUAUGGCAGCUGAUACUCUCUACUGAAAUAUGGCGAUCGGAAAUGGACUUGCUGGAAGCUGAUUUCGAGG